UACGUAGGGUGCGAGCGUUUGUCCGGAAUUAUUGGGCGUAAAGGGCUCGUAGGCGGUCUGUCGCGUCGAAAGUGAAAACCCAGGGCUUAACCCUGGGCCUGCUUCCGAUACGGGCAGACUAGAGGUAUGCAGGGGAGAACGGAAUUCCUGGUGUGAGCGGUGGAAAUGCGCAGAUAUCAGGAGGAACACCGGUGGCGAAGGCGGUUCUCUGGGCCUUACCUGACGCUGAGGAGCGAAAGCGUGGGGAGCAAACAGG
rnacentral:rRNA from 1 species